GGUAAGACAAAUCUCAAAGUCCAGACAUUUAUUAAUUUACCACAAUGUACUAACUGAAUACAUGAUAAUUAACUAAGUAUAUAAUGAACUAUGGCAAUAAGCAAUAUAGUAUGCCUUGUGCUACCUAAUGAUAAUAAGGAAAAAGG